rnacentral:sRNA from 1 species
GUAAUCUUCUAAAGCCAGCUGGCACAUUUAUAGGAUGCCAGGCUAGCCCAUCAGAUGAAGUGUCCAUUGUGGCAGCCACAGAUCCACAUCAGAUGGGAAGAGUGUGAUCAGUGCGGCAUGCAUGUUUAGUCAGGUAACAAUGGGAGCUGUACAGGAAGAGGAUUAUUAUUCCAAGAAGAAAGGACCUAUAUGAUCUUGUGGAAGGUAAAGAAAACGUGCACAGAAUCAGAUGUUUCAGAAUCUCAGAAUUCCAGGUCUAUGGAAAUGCAGGACCUAGCAAGUCCUCAUACUCUUGUUGGAGGUGGUGAUACUCCAGGUAGCUCCAAACUGGAAAAAUCUAAUCUCAGCAGCACAUCAGUUACUACAAAUGGGACAGGAGUGUCUCUUCUUGCAGUCAAAACAGAGCCCUUGAACAGCAGUGAAACCACAACCACGACUGGAGAUGGAGCGCUUGACACUUUUACUGGGUCAGUAAUUACAAGUAGUGGCUACAGCCCCAGAUCAGCACAUCAGUAUUCCCCACAGCUGUAUCCUUCCAACAGCUCAAACAAUGUCUGCCUAUGCAGGCCAGGCUCAGUAUUCGGGGAUGCAGCAGCCAGCCGUCUACACAGCCUACUCACAGACAGGACAGCCCUACAGCCUGCCCACAUACGAUUUGGGUGUGAUGUUGCCAGCCAUCAAGACAGAGAGUGGACUUUCCCAAACUCAGUCCCCAUUACAGAGUGGUUGCCUCAGUUACAGCCCAGGGUUCUCUACCCCACAGCCAGGACAGACACCUUAUUCUUACCAAAUGCCAGGUUCUAGUUUUGCACCAUCAUCUACUAUUUAUGCAAAUAAUUCAGUUUCCAAUUCAACGAAUUUCAGUGGUUCACAACAGGAUU